rnacentral:rRNA from 1 species
GACGAACCACACGAACGUUAUUCGGAAUUACUGGGCUUAAAGGGUGCGUAGGCGGCGCGGUAAGUAGGGUGUGAAAGCCCGGGGCUCAACCCCGGAAUGGCUUUCGAAACUGCUGAGCUAGAGUACAGAAGGGGCAACCGGAAUUCCCAGUGUAGCGGUGAAAUGCGUAGAUAUUGGGAAGAACACCUGAGGCGAAGGCGGGUUGCUGGGCUGAUACUGACGCUGAGGCGCGAAAGCGUGGGGAGCGAACAGG